rnacentral:rRNA from 1 species
UACGUAGGGAGCAAGCGUUGUCCGGAAUCAUUGGGCGUAAAGCGCGCGUAGGCGGCCCCGUAAGUCCGCUGUGAAAGUCAAAGGCUCAACCUUUGAAAGCCGGUGGAUACUGUGGGGCUAGAGUCCGGAAGAGGCGACUGGAAUUCCUGGUGUAGCGGUGAAAAUGCGCAGAUAUCAGGAGGAACACCGAUGGCGAAGGCAGGUCUCUGGGCAUUAACUGACGCUGAGGAGCGAAAGCAUGGGGAGCGAACAGG